UGGAUUAGUGGCGAACGGGUGAGUAUUAACGGGCAAUCUGCCCUUCACUCUGGGACAAGCCCUGGAAACGGGGUCUAAUACCGGAUAACACUCUGUCCCGCAUGGGACGGGGUUAAAAGCUCCGGCGGUGAAGGAUGAGCCCGCGGCCUAUCAGCUUGUUGGUGGGGUAAUGGCCUACCAAGGCGACGACGGGUAGCCGGCCUGAGAGGGCGACCGGCCACACUGGGACUGAGACACGGCCCAGACUCCUACGGGAGGCAGCAGUGGGGAAUAUUGCACAAUGGGCGAAAGCCUGAUGCAGCGACGCCGCGUGAGGGAUGACGGCCUUCGGGUUGUAAACCUCUUUCAGCAGGGAAGAAGCGAAAGUGACGGUACCUGCAGAAGAAGCGCCGGCUAACUACGUGCCAGCAGCCGCGGUAAUACGUAGGGCGCAAGCGUUGUCCGGAAUUAUUGGGCGUAAAGAGCUCGUAGGCGGCUUGUCACGUCGGAUGUGAAAGCCCGGGGCUUAACCCCGGGUCUGCAUUCGAUACGGGCUAGCUAGAGUGUGGUAGGGGAGAUCGGAAUUCCUGGUGUAGCGGUGAAAUGCGCAGAUAUCAGGAGGAACACCGGUGGCGAAAGGCGGAUCUCUGGGCCAUUACUGACGCUGAGGAGCGAAAGCGUGGGGAGCGAACAGGAUUAGAUACCCU
rnacentral:rRNA from 1 species